rnacentral:lncRNA from 1 species
CUCAGGGAAGCCAUGCAGGCUGCAUAAAGCUGUUGUGAAAGGCCGCAUUUAGGAUAGAUGCAGCAGCCUCUCAGCGAUAUCACUAACUUCAGGAGGCAGAAAGGCAGUUUCAGAGUUCUAGUCAGUGGUGAGAUGGGAGAUUAUUUCCUCUGGAAACCCUGAAUCUGUCUCUCUGAAAGCAUCUUCAUACUGUUAAAUGACUUGCUUAAUGGUAGGGCUCAGAGGUUCCAAAGCUCAGUUUCUGAAACUAAUUCAAAAUGUGCGCUCAAGAAACAAAAGGAAAGAAACAAUCACGAGCAAAAAUACAAAAGACGUAAUGAUUUCAACUAAUGUUAAAUUCCCUGAGGAACCAGGGAGCUUGUCAAUAUUUGGGGAAAGGUGAAAGAACAUAGAAUAUCCUUUUUUCCGAGCAAUAUUAUUGAAUUUAAUAAUUUAGUGGAAAUGUUCAUUUAAUUAUACAUUAAUGGGUAUGCAGUGAUAAUUUUUACAAAGUGCCAGGCGUGGUUGCUAGGCACAAGAGCUACUAAGAAGAAAGACACACCUCAGACACACCUCUGAAGUUAAAGAACAUUUAUUAGUCUUCUCGGAGUGAAUACCGAAACUUCCUGUGAUGAGACACAGACACCAGAAAGCUUUAAAAGAGUGAUUUAAGGAGGUAACCAGCACUUGCAGCCAACACUAUUAUGACUCCCUCAAGACGUGCACACACUGGAAUAAGCGUAAACAUUUACAAGGACAGGAAAAUUGAAUUCCUGAAAAUAUAUACCAAGCUGUAUUUUCACAAAUAAUCUUGUUUAUAGAUGCAUCAAUAUUCCUUGAGACUUGUUUGCAAUCACAGUUGUCCUGAGAGUUUUGAAGGCUUGUCAGAUGUUAAAGGAUUAGCCUUGGUCAGUAUAACUCUAGGAUAUUAACAUUCACUGGGCACCUACAUCUGAUCAGAAUCAUGCUAGGGGCUAGAGAAACAAAGAGAAACACAUCCCUUUUCCCCUAGGCCUCAGAGUCUAAAGGGGGAGAGAAGCAAGUAAACACUCCAUUACAGUAAGCCAUAUUGUAACUGGCAGGACAGACAUACACACAACCUGCUGUAGGAGCCAAAGGACGAGACUCCACAACCACGAGGUUGAGUAACCAGGAGACUGUCCGCAGCUCGUGUCUAAAUGCCUAGCUGAAAUCUAGAGAUGUCCAGCAGAGGAACGGGAAGUAUCUAUAUAAAAAAAAGUCAUCUUUCCAAGUAUACCAUGAAUCUGGACUUCAAUUUCCCACUGAUUUCUUUCCUGCUGCUGACAAUGGUCACAUCACAAAAUCCUGUCUCAUCCACAAUAGGAGGGCUUAAGUUGCAUCACGUUGUCUUCAGAAACUGCAGAGCAUUUGUAGGAUCAACUAACGCAGAAAAAUUAAGUAGAAGUUCAAGGUUAGAUAAAGAACAGCAGGCACACACUGAGUUACUCUUACCAUCACCGUGGGAAAUGGAAUUGAGGAGAGACGCAUCCACCUUCACUGUCUGCUCUUACCGUCUUAGAUUGGCAAGUUUGAGACCCUGUAAAUGAGUACACGGAAUGAUCAAAAGCAGUUAACAAGGACAUGUUGGUCUCAGAAACACACAGGCUACUUUGGCAUGUGGGAGACUAAGAAUGAAGCCAACAGGAAAAGAAGUAAGAAGUAAAGAUGGGGAUGAAGUCCUGACCGCGCUGUUUGAGCCCCUGACCGAGCUGUACUUCAAACGAGACUAUCCCCUGGACUUUCAAGCAACUUGAGCCGAUAAAUUCCCCUUAUUUUUAAGCCAGGUAGAAUUGGUUUUCUUUCACAUGCAACAGAAAGAAUCCUAAGUGAUAUAUUUAGGAAGUGAGAGGAACUAAACCUGCUAGUUGAAGGCAUCGUCUCUACAGCCAACAAAAGCUCAAGUAGUCAAAUCUGAUAGAUUCACAGCGUGGUCAACGGCGCUCUUCAAUGUCUUUGACUGGAUCUUUCUGUAUUCUUACUUGUGUUCACAAUCAGCCCACAUCUGAUUUUGAUAGAGUCAUUUUUUCUAAAUAUCCCCAAAUAAUCUUUCCCAAUAGAAGGAAUAAAAUAUCUUGAGUUUUAUACACGUGAAUCCCAUAUCUCCAUCUAUUUUUAAGCAUGUCCCUAAGACUCAAAACUCAAAAUUGUUAUUUUAUGAGGAGUCUUAAACAAAAACAAAAACAAAACCUCAAGGGUUUAAUCUGGAAUACUAAUUGGGUUGAAAAUAAACACAAAAAUUCAGCGGC